rnacentral:rRNA from 1 species
GAUGAACGCUGGCGGCGUGCCUAAUACAUGCAAGUCGAGCGAAUGGAUUGAGAGCUUGCUCUUACGGAGUUAGCGGCGGACGGGUGAGUAACACGUGGGUAACCUGCCCAUAAGACUGGGAUAACUCCGGGAAACCGGGGCUAAUACCGGAUAACAUUUUGAACCGCAUGGUUCGAAAUUGAAAGGCGGCUUCGGCUGUCACUUAUGGAUGGACCCGCGUCGCAUUAGCUAGUUGGUGAGGUAACGGCUCACCAAGGCAACGAUGCGUAGCCGACCUGAGAGGGUGAUCGGCCACACUGGGACUGAGACACGGCCCAGACUCCUACGGGAGGUAGCAGUAGGGAAUCUUCCGCAAUGGACGAAAGUCUGACGGAGCAACGCCGCGUGAGUGAUGAAGGCUUUCGGGUCGUAAAACUCUGUUGUUAGGGAAGAACAAGUGCUAGUUGAAUAAGCUGGCACCUUGACGGUACCUAACCAGAAAGCCACGGCUAACUACGUGCCAGCCGCCGCAGUAA